rnacentral:tRNA from 1 species
AAAGGUAUAGCUUAGUGGUAGAGUACAUGUUUAGCAUGCAUGAGGCCCUAGGUUCAAUCCUGAAUACUUCCA